ACACCCACUGACACCAUUUUGUUUUCCCGCCACAGGAGGGCUGCCUCUCAGGCCAGGCCCUCACCCCACAGCCUCCCCAGAUCCGUGUGCGUUGGGGAGAGGGGUUGCAUCUCACCUCACAUACCGUAUAUUCAAAUAUAUAUCAAUGUAUGGGUAUGACAUAGUUGUGAGAGAUUGCUGCCAGGCUCUGGGAUUUGUAUGUGGUUGGUUUCAGAGGCAUUGUCAUCGUGACAGCUGGGGAAGGCUCUGGGGAAGCCAAGCUUGGAGGGGAGAGGUAGGAGACAUUUAACCAGUCCUGGUUUUAUGGAGAAAAGUGGCUUUCCCAGACUGACUUUUUCUGCCCCAAUUGCUUCAGUUUGGCAGAGGAUCCCGGGUGCCCUGUGAGGGGACUGAAUGCCAUGCAGUGCCACUAGCCACUCCUGAGGUGGGUGUAUGGUUGAUGUCCUACUGCACGCUGCACCAUUACACGUCUUUCUGCCCCCAAAAGCAGAGAAUUUAAAUCCAAUAAUUUUUUUUAAAUAUAUUAAGCUGGCACCUCUCCUGCUUUCUUGUUUCAUUGUGAGGCUUUUCAGUUCCCAUUUAAGAAGAGACAUCUCAUCCCAGGAGCUGCAGGGCAAACUCCCUCUCCACACACAGAGGAACAUGAUGUUGCUAGGCAAGGGCAGGACAGAGCAGGAAAAGUGCAAGACCUUAGCCACUUGCUGCAAGAAAAUCCAGAAACACCCCUGUUUUCUUGUACCCUGACUGCCACACUGAGUAUCUUAAAAAGAAGACAAGGCAGAGCAAGUAGUCCAGCCUGACACAUCAUUGGCUUUGUGCUCAACUAAAUGAAGUCAGAAUUCAGACCUCUUAUAGCAGGUAAGA